AAAACUAGCAUUGACAAUAUUUAUAUUGGCAAGAAGAAGUUAUCACAAAUAUAAAUAAAUUAACCUUAAACAUUUGAUUAAUAUAAAACUGUUUUCCAAACUAAAAAAGUGGCAAAAGUUGGAAUACCAGCCUGUUUCUGCCGAUUCCUGAAAACUUAAAUUUCACUGUGUUUAAAUGCUAUCUGCAAGAAAGAAAAGAUUUCUUCCACAACCCAAAUUAAUUUGCUACAUAUUUAUCAGACCAAAUACUCCAUCAAUUGUAAGAGUGCCAUCCAAAAUCAGUGAAAGGGAAAAGUAUGGAAGGAACUUAAUUUUUCAUCCUCCCAUCAAAAUGAGUUUCAUCCGACUGCAAGAGGGGACCGUUCAGCCUUUCGACAAGUUUGAUCAACAGAGCGUACCAAAUAUCGUUCAGUUGGAAUCGCUACUUCCGACACAGGUGGUCGUGAAAUCCGUGCUGGACAGUGUGCACUUCGUUGCAAUCUGCCGGGCAUGCAGCUCCAAAAGAAACGGAGGAAUCCAACAAUAAGCAGCUGCAACUCCGUCAUCUGUUCAACUGGAUUACAACGACCCUGCCGUUGUUGUUGCAGUUUAUUCCUACACAUUCGUCGCGUCCAAUCAUUUUCUAGCCCUUCGUAAAUUGUCAAGUUUCAUUUGAAUCGAUAGUUCAACUGGCGCUAUACUUAAAUUAUCGACAUAGAAAAAUGCGGCUCGACUAUAAAAUGACGACCCACUUUGGCGUUCGAAUUCAUAAACCCCUGCAAUCUCCUAGAUAAAAAAUGAAAUCGCUUCCGAUUCUCUUCCUUCUGGUUGCCGUCUGCCUGGUUGUCGCCAUGGAGGCCCAAACAACCAAGAAACCAGCAACAGUUGCGACGACCACCAAAAAGACGCCAACGACAACUGCCAAGAUAAUUGCGAGAACAACAACCUC
rnacentral:lncRNA from 1 species